GACGAACGCUGGCGGCGUGCCUAAUACAUGCACGUAGAACGCAGUUGAGAACGGGUGAGUAACGCGGAGGAAACUGCCUCAUAGCAGGGAAUAAAUAUGGGAAACGCUAGCUAAUACCGCCUAAUGUGAGAUGGACAUGCGUUGUAUUAGGUAGUUGGUGAGGUAAAGGCUCACCAAGGCGACGAUACAUAGCCGACCUGAUAGGGGUAGCGGCCACAACUGGACCGAGGAAAGGGCCAGAAUCCUGCGGUAGGCAGCAGGAGGGAAUCUUAGGCAAUGGACGGAAGUCCGACCGAGCAACGGCGGGGUAGUGAAGAAGGUUUUAGGAUUGUAAAGCUAUGUUGUUAGAGAAGCGGUAACUAACCAGAAAGGGACGGCUAACUACGUGCCAGCCGCCGCGGUAAUUC
rnacentral:rRNA from 1 species